rnacentral:rRNA from 1 species
AGAGUUUGAUCAUGGCUCAGGAUGAACGCUGGCGGCGUGCCUAAUACAUGCAAGUCGAGCGAAUGACGAGGAGCUUGCUCCUCUGAUUUAGCGGCGGACGGGUGAGUAACACGUGGGUAACCUGCCUGUAAGACGGGGAUAACUCCGGGAAACCGGAGCUAAUACCGGAUGAUAACGAGAAGCGCCUGCUUCUUUUUUGAAAGUCGGUUUCGGCUGACGCUUACAGAUGGGCCCGCGGCGCAUUAGCUAGUUGGUGAGGUAACGGCUCACCAAGGCGACGAUGCGUAGCCGACCUGAGAGGGUGAUCGGCCACACUGGGACUGAGACACGGCCCAGACUCCUACGGGAGGCAGCAGUAGGGAAUCUUCGGCAAUGGACGAAAGUCUGACCGAGCAACGCCGCGUGAGUGAUGAAGGUUUUCGGAUCGUAAAACUCUGUUGUCAGGGAAGAACAAGUACCGGAGUAACUGCCGGUACCUUGACGGUACCUGACCAGAAAGCCACGGCUAACUACGUGCCAGCAGCCGCGGUAAUACGUAGGUGGCAAGCGUUAUCCGGAAUUAUUGGGCGUAAAGCGCGCGCAGGCGGUCUUUUAAGUCUGAUGUGAAAGCCCACGGCUCAACCGU